UGUCUUAUAUUCAAUUUAUUUAUGAUUUUAUAUUGCAAGUAUAAAGGUGCAGUUUGCUAAGGCUU
rnacentral:tRNA from 1 species